CGCCGCGGUAAUACGGAGGGUGCAAGCGUUAAUCGGAAUUACUGGGCGUAAAGCGCACGCAGGCGGUCUGUCAAGUCAGAUGUGAAAUCCCCGGGCUUAACCUGGGAACUGCAUUUGAAACUGGCAGGCUAGAGUCUUGUAGAGGGGGGUAGAAUUCCAGGUGUAGCGGUGAAAUGCGUAGAGAUCUGGAGGAAUACCGGUGGCGAAGGCGGCCCCCUGGACAAAGACUGACGCUCAGGUGCGAAAGCGUGGGGAGCAAACAGGAUUAGAUACCCUGGUAGUCCACGCCGUAAACGAUGUCGACUUGGAGGUUGUGCCCUUGAGGUGUGGCUUCCGGAGCUAACGCGUUAAGUCGACCGCCUGGGGAGUACGGCCGCAAGGUUAAAACUCAAAUGAAUUGACGGAA
rnacentral:rRNA from 1 species